UACAAGUAUGCAGGCAGUAAGGAACUUUGUAAACUCUGGGGACAAAACAGAAAAAAAGAGAAUGUCACCAAUAGACCAUAACACAGAAUUAGAAAUCAAUCUAAAGAUCCACUCAAAACUCCCAGUAACUUGUGGAUUGAAUACU
ensembl:misc_RNA